AGUGAACGCUGGCGGUAGGCCUAACACAUGCAAGUCGAACGGCAGCACAGUAAGAGCUUGCUCUUACGGGUGGCGAGUGGCGGACGGGUGAGGAAUACAUCGGAAUCUACUUUUUCGUGGGGGAUAACGUAGGGAAACUUACGCUAAUACCGCAUACGACCUACGGGUGAAAGCAGGGGAUCUUCGGACCUUGCGCGAUUGAAUGAGCCGAUGUCGGAUUAGCUAGUUGGCGGGGUAAAGGCCCACCAAGGCGACGAUCCGUAGCUGGAGUGAGAGGAUGAACAGCCACACUGGGACUGAGACGCGGUCCAGUCUCCUACGGGCGGGCGCAGUGGGGAAUAUUGGACAAUGGGCGCAAGCCUGAUCCAGCCAUACCGCGUGGGUGAAGAAGGCCUUCGGGUUGUAGAGCCCUUUUGUUGGUAAAGAAAAGCAGCAGGUUAAUACCCCGCUGUUCUGACGGUACCCAAAGAAUAAGCACCGGCUAACUUCGUG
rnacentral:rRNA from 1 species